GGCGGUUCUCGGGUAAUGCACCCCAGAAUCGGGCUCCCUCCUCUCUGGUUCCAGGUGUGUCACCUGAGAACCACA
rfam:Myotis davidii contig126183, whole genome shotgun sequence.